AGCCAGACUCCUACGGGAGGCAGCAGUGGGGAAUAUUGCACAAUGGGGGAAACCCUGAUGCAGCGACGCCGCGUGAGCGAAGAAGUACCUCGGUAUGUAAAGCUCUAUCAGCAGGGAAGAAGAUGACGGUACCUGACUAAGAAGCCACGGCUAACUACGUGCCAGCAGCCGCGGUAGUACGUAGGUGGCAAGCGUUGUCCGGAUUUACUGGGUGUAAAGGGCGUGUAGCCGGGUUGACAAGUCAGAUGUGAAAUCCUGCGGCUUAACCGCAGAACUGCAUUUGAAACUGUUGAUCUUGAGUACUGGAGAGGCAGACGGAAUUCCUAGUGCAGCGGUGAAAUGCGUAGAUAUUAGGAGGAACACCAGUGGCGAAGGCGGUCUGCUGGACAGCAACUGACGGUGAGGCGCGAAAGCGUGGGGAGCAAACAGGAUUAGAUACCCCUGUA
rnacentral:rRNA from 1 species